rnacentral:lncRNA from 1 species
GGGGGGGGGGCUAGGAUGAAAAGUUUGUCCUGCAUUUUUUUUAGCUGUAAUCUCUGUCCUGCCUUUUUAUUUUACACUCUGUUCGGUCCUGCUUUUUUUCUUUUAGUUUAUCCUGACUUUUUUUUACCUAAAUUGUCGUCCUGCUUUUUUUUGCAAGUGUCUCAUCCUGCCUUUUUUUUUAACUCAAAAUUCCUGUCCUGCCUCUUUUUUUCAAAUUUCAUCUUAGCCCCCCCCCUCCCCCUAAAAAUCAAAUGGUAGCUCCCUUAAUACUUCAUAGUUGAUAAUGAAAAGUGCGAAGAUGAGUCCUAAAUAAUCUUUAUUUUGACAGAGGCAAUUUUAAGUGACUUAGAU